ensembl:lncRNA
GUGCUAUGUAAGAGGACAGAUGGGUUACAAUGACAAAUCCCAUUCUACAGAUCCAUUCAAACACAUUCACACAAAGCUAAAGGUGUUCCUCUCUCUACUUUCAGUCUAACAACAGUGUGGUGAGACUGGGUGUAGUUUUCAGUCACACUGAUUCUUCACACAUUAGCAGAAUGUCCCUGAUGAACUGGAAAAACAGCACGAGAAGCUAACAAGGUGUUUUUUCUGUUUUUCUAGAACAUGAAUGUGCUGACUGCUGUCUCGGUUCAUGACGUCAAAUGACACCUCUGUUCAUGUGUGAGGCUGGUUUGUGUGAUUAAUGCAAAAAGCUCACACAUUUCCUGUCCAUCGUAUUUAUCUGUCCAUGUGAUGAGCCCGAGUGCGUCUGUUGAACAUGACGUGUCGUGUUUGUGAAAAAUAACCCUUUCUGGGAUCCAAUAUCACUACAUACGCCAUCCGUUGAAAGACAAACAAGAAUGUUCGAGAUAACCAACAUGAAAAAUGCAAACUCAAAAAGUUAUUUGUGUUUGUUUUGGGGAAAAAAAAACAAAAAAUCUUCGUCAUUGGAUUCACAUGAAAAUGAAAUGGCUUCCUGUCAGUUACACCAAACUGUUUCGGAACUGCAGAGUGAGUCAGUGUGCAUCUUCUCCGACAAUUUUAUACUGCAUCUCCAGAAAUUUGCACAAAGGAGGAUUUAAUGAACUGACGUAAUUCAGCGUAUGUGUCAAAAUGGAGGAGUUUACUCACAUUUCAUUCAGUUCUGAGAGGUAAACUAGUUUUAUCUAAUUAGAAACUCACACUGUCAACCAAUGUGUGUGUGUGUGUGUGUGUGUGUGCUAUGUAUUUUUAAACUUAUUAGAUUAUCAUGCUGUUAGCUUAGCAUCAUGCUAACAUCAGACUCAAUCAGUUGUGAAUUGAGCCUUAAAAUACAGUAGAUAUGACUUGUUGGGAGUGUUAUGAAUAUAAAUGGACUAGCUUUACUACCCUAGAUGUGACAGCAAAGCAGCUCAGUGUGUGUGUGUGUGUGUGUUUGUUUGUGUGUUGUCAUUUAAGGCCUCCGUAAUUGCUGUCGUCAAAUCAAUUCUCUUGUUUUUCUU